rnacentral:rRNA from 1 species
UACGAAGGGGGCUAGCGUUGCUCGGAAUCACUGGGCGUAAAGCGCACGUAGGCGGAUCUUUAAGUCAGGGGUGAAAUCCCAAGGCUCAGCCUUGGAACUGCCUUUGAUACUGGGGAUCUCGAGUCCGGAAGAGGUUGGUGGAACUCCGAGUGUAGAGGUGAAAUUCGUAGAUAUUCGGAAGAACACCAGUGGCGAAGGCGGCCAACUGGUCCGGCACUGACGCUGAGGUGCGAAAGCGUGGGGAGCAAACAGG